GAUUGGUUCAACAGGAAUGAGUUGGCACUGAAUUCGUCGAAGACAAACAUUAUGGUAUUCAGAACAAAGAACUCCCGAGUUACUCCAACUGGCACCAUAAACCUGAAUGGCAAUGAAAUUGGAACAGUCAUGUGGAAAAAACUGGGCUGAGAUUGAGUAGCAUUGGAUAUGGAAUCAGAGUGGUAUCCAGACAUAUGGAUGAGAGGACAUUGAAAAUACUGUACCACGCCAACUUUGAAUCGGUACUGAGAUAUGGGAUUGUGUUUUGGGGAUGCAGCUCCAGCAUUCAACUCCUUUUCAUUAUACAAAAAAGAACCAUAAGAUCAAUCAGGCAUAUGAAAUUUGGAGCCACCUGCAGGGGUGUUUUCAGGGAUAUGCAGAUUAUGACUAUAUAUGGGUUGUAUAUAUUUGAGUGUCUGAUGUUCUUUUUCAGGCACCAAGUUGAAUUCAGCUCUAACUUUGGUCAUGGCUAUAAUACAAGGACGACGAAUUUCAUUUACCCUUCUCAUAGGCUUACAAGUACAGAAAAAGGAACCUACUAUAUGUGCAUAAAACUAUAUAAUAAAUUACCAUCUACAUGCAGAUUAUCUAGCUUAAUAAAAUUCAAGAAUGCCAUAAAGAAACUGCUAAUUAAACUGGAACCAUAUUCACUUAGAGAUUUUCUAGAUUGUAACAACUUGUCAGAGUUUGUAUAGAUUGUAUAUAUUGUUGUUGACAUCAUUUCGCUUCUCUCUCUGUAAUUUACUGUGGGGAUGAUUUGAAAUAAAGGAAUUUAUUAUUAUUAUUAUUA